GGGGAACAGGGUGUGUGUAGGGCAUAGGAGCCGAUUCCGUGGAUGCUCGGGCCCGGAAGCCCCCAUGGAAAAUGUUGAGCACCCAGUGCCGCCAUUCAGAGCACCGUACCGCAGGGACAGCACAGCGGCAGCAGCACACUACAGCCUUGGGAGCUGCCUGUAUUCUCGGAUGUGGCUCCCAAUCCUCACUGCCCUGGAGCAAAGGUGGGAUCACAGUCACUGACAUAUUUGAGAUAACGUGUGUACCUAAUGAUCUGUGUGGCACAACUGGCAGCAUUAGCACCCCCACUGGCAAAAUGAAGAUGGGCAUUUCCUGCUGUUACACUGAUAACUGUACCCCACCAGCACCUAGAUUACCCGGCGAUAACUCUCGGCAAAACGGAGUCACCUGUUCUUCUUGCACGUCGGCUACAUCUGAUUGGUGUUACACUGGGGACACCAUGCAAUGUGAAGGAAGUGAAGAUAUGUGUUUUCUCCAACGUACCAAUUUUAACGCUCCUGCAAAACAAUCUGUGGCGAUUCGGGGAUGUGCCACUAAAAGCAUCUGCUCACUCGACACCCAGUCUUCAAAAUUGGAAAACGUGGACAUGAAAACGUCAUUUUCGUGCAGCAGCGGAACAUUUGCUCUGCGCAGUAGUCCAUUUUUGUCCUUUAUUCUUGGAAUUGUAAUAGCUGUUUUUGUUAAAUAGAUAAGUGCAAUCAUUCCACAUCCAGCUUCAUGUUCUGUCCCUAAAAGUAUAUCUCCCAUCAUUCCACUCCCAAUUGACCUCUGUCUCACUAGGGUGGCUUGGACUGGAUAUGUGCUCGUUCUUUAGAUACGGCUGUUGGUUGUGCUGGCCCAUGUUUUAAGGAGUAACAUGCAUUGUGAUGCCUUGCAAUGCCUCCAUCUACAUGGUAUAUUUACUAAAGCUUCUAAAAUUGAAAAGUGGUGAUGUUGCCCAUAGCAACCAAUCAGAAUCUGCUAUGGGCAAUAUCAGCACUUCAAUUUUAGAAGCAUUAGUAAAUUUACCCCUACAUUUGUAUUUUGGUGAUUUUUGCUUCUGGUUUCCUUCCUCCUUCCUCUCCUCCUCCUUGUUCUCCUGCAUUUUGUCUUUUUCUUUUUAGUUCAUGAAUCUUCUGUAAAAGCUACCACCUAUCCAUGUGAGUGUACAUAACUUGUAAUGUUCUUUGUUUUUCAAUAGAAACUUAUUGAGUUAAAAGUAUAGAACAAUUUAAAAAAGUUUAAAAAUAUUUUGUCUUUUUUGUCGUUUAUUCAAAGUUAAUUGGAUUUAUAAUUCUGAAUGUAACUAUGGCUCUAGAGCAGA